UCGCAUAGUCUAGCCACUUUGGGCUGGGCCACUUGCAUUUAGCCAGUAGGUUCGUAACUUCGUAAGUCGUAAAUGAAAUUGAAAUUGUUGUGUCGUAAGAAGCGUUGUCAGUCUUUGCUUUUUGGUGUUGCAGUAUUUGUAUUCUAACAAUCUCAUUUGCAGUUUAAUAAUUCAUAUUUAGUGCCUACCACAUAUUAUUUUGAUUGAAGCUUGUUUAUCUUCAUUUAAUUGCAAUUAUUUUUAAAACAAGAUGGAGACGUUGGCGAAGGGGCUAGUGUUUGGAGUGGGGGUGGCCAUCGCGCUGGUCCUGGUGGCGGUGGACUGGUGGCAGCACCGGAACGUGCCGGCGCCACAGAAUGUGUACGGGCAACGGGCGCCGCGGAACAACAACUAGUUCAGAUAUAGAUAAAAUCUACGGUGCACAAAUAUUGACACGCGAAGGAAAUAAUUAUUGAAUCUGAAUUGAUUUUGUAGACUAAUUAAUGCUAUUAAUAUUAAGUUGCAAAAGUUACAAGGGAAAGCACUAGACCCAACGAUAUUUUACCCUAGAGACACAGCACUAGCCCAUCAAAACUGAGGCGGACAAAAUGUGCAUAAAUGUCUUAAUUUCAUUUAGUCUCAUAAUAAAAAACUACGACCGUUAUUUAAACACUUAGACCAAUUAUUGUAUAGGACCUGCCUCGCUAGACGUUACUUUUCUGUCAAAGUAUAUGAACAACGAUCUAAUGCGAUUAUAAAAACUGUCUCUAUAGAAUCGAUGUUAAAUAGUUGUAAUCAUGUUCGUCGGUUAAAGAGCUCUGUAAAAAUACCUUUUUGUGUAAUUGAGUUCUGUAAAAAAGUGUGGCAAAAACUUCUAGUUUAGUAUAAGAUAUUUACCAAAUCUAAGCUCGUUUUCCUCAGAAAAUGACAGACUAUUUUGUUCGUGAUUAUGAGUGCGAUACAGGUCCUUCUAUAAUUGGUCUGAGAUUUCACCAGAUAUAUCAUAGAUACUAGACGUGGAAUGGAUUUAAUUGUCUCCAUUGAUCAAAUUUGACCUACGAAGAAAUCAGAGACGCAAGAAUUUUAACAAAUCCUAUUUUAUGAAUUUCUAGUAGUCCACGUGAAAAUCGAUGUAAACUCCCGACCCCUAUUUCACCCCCUUCUAUUUAUAUUUUCGCAUGUUUUGUGUAUAAGAAAUAGUCCAUAUAUAUCCACUGAUCAAUUUACAAAAAUAUAGGUACUCAACUCAAAAUUUGAACGAUUUAUAUUGAAAAAAGAACAUAAACCCCUUUUUUGAAUUACAUUGUUUUUAGUAUUUUUCAGGUAAGAAACAUACCAAUUUAAGUAUACAAAUGUAAGUUGAAAAAUGAAGGUCUUUCCAUACAUAUUUCAACUCGAAUUUCACCCUCUUAAGAUUUAAUUUUCGCGAUAAAAAGUAAGUAAUUCGUAUUAUGGUCACCAAUAGUGCCAAGUUUCAUUUAAAUUCAAUCAGUAGUUUCAGCGUGAUGCCCGGUCAAUAUUAAAUACGGACAGACAGACGAAAAAUUAUAAUUUUUAAACUACCUAUAACAAAAAAUGCAGAUUUUAAAUCGAUAUUUUGAAAUUAUGGCAAGAUGAAAGAAUGGCAGAUAUAGCAUAGCAUAGACAAUAAUGAACAAAGCAAUAAUGUUAAAAAUUGUUGAAGAUAAAGCAAAAUGGCGAUUUUCUUGGUGCCUUAUGAAUUGUUUUUUAUGUACCUACUAAGUUUGUAAUAAAUUUGUUUAAUUUUAGAGUAAUUAUUUUAAUUUUUAAGUAUUAUUAUAAUUAUUGUGAUAAUAAAUUUUUAAUCAAGA